GCUACACAUGCAAGUCGAACGGAAUCUUCGGAUUUAGUGGCGGACGGGUGAGUAACGCGUGAGAAUCUAGCUCUAGGUCGGGGACAACCACUGGAAACGGUGGCUAAUACCGGAUGUGCCGAAAGGUGAAAGAUUUAUUGCCUAGAGAUGAGCUCGCGUCUGAUUAGCUAGUUGGUGUGGUAAGAGCGCACCAAGGCGACGAUCAGUAGCUGGUCUGAGAGGAUGAUCAGCCACACUGGGACUGAGACACGGCCCAGACUCCUACGGGAGGCAGCAGUGGGGAAUUUUCCGCAAUGGGCGAAAGCCUGACGGAGCAAUACCGCGUGAGGGAGGAAGGCUCUUGGGUUGUAAACCUCUUUUCUCAGGGAAUAAGAAAGUGAAGGUACCUGAGGAAUAAGCAUCGGCUAACUCCGUGCCAGCAGCCGCGGUAAUACGGAGGAUGCAAGCGUUAUCCGGAAUGAUUGGGCGUAAAGCGUCCGCAGGUGGCACUGUAAGUCUGCUGUUAAAGAGCAAGGCUCAACCUUGUAAAGGCAGUGGAAACUACAGAGCUAGAGUACGUUCGGGGCAGAGGGAAUUCCUGGUGUAGCGGUGAAAUGCGUAGAA
rnacentral:rRNA from 1 species